AAAAAGAUAAGCUAAAUAAGCUUUUAGGUUCAUACCCUGACUAUAGAAGAUAAACUUCUUCUUUUUA
rnacentral:tRNA from 1 species